rnacentral:sRNA from 1 species
UAUGUAGUCUUUACUAAGGGUUAUAGCC